rnacentral:rRNA from 1 species
AGUCAUAUGCUUGUCUCAAAGAUUAAGCCAUGCAUGUCUAAGUUCAAGCAAAAAUAAAAGUGAAACCGCGAAUGGCUCAUUACAUCAGUUAUGGUUCCUUAGAUCGCACUUUUACUUGGAUAACUGUGGUAAUUCUAGAGCUAAUACAUGCGCUGGGCUCUAACCUUUACGGAAAGAGCGCUUUUAUUAGAUCAAAGCCAAUCGGGCUUUCGGGUCCGUUCAAAUGGUGACUCUGAAUAACUUUGCUGAUCGCAUGGCCUCGUGCCGGCGACGUAUCUUUCAAGUGUCUGCCUUAUCAACUGUCGAUGGUAGGUUAUGCGCCUACCAUGGUUGUCACGGGUAACGGGGAAUCAGGGUUCGAUUCCGGAGAGGGAGCCUGAGAAACGGCUACCACAUCCAAGGAAGGCAGCAGGCGCGCAAAUUACCUACUUCCAGUACGGAGAGGUAGUGACGAAAAAUAACGAUACGGAACUCAUACGAGGCUCCGUAAUCGGAAUGAGUACACUUUAAAUCCUUUAACGAGGAUCUAUUGGAGGGCAAGUCUGGUGCCAGCAGCCGCGGUAAUUCCAGCUCCAAUAGCGUAUAUUAAAGUUGUUGCGGUUAAAAAGCUCGUAGUUGGAUCUCGGUUUCGGGCGGGCAGUGCGCCUUGCGGUGAUGUCUGUCUGCCCGGACGAUUUUGUUGGUUCGUUCGUGGUUCUCUUAACCGAGUGCCACGGGUGGCCAGCACGUUUACUUUGAAAAAAUUGGAGUGCUCAAAGCAGGCGCUACAGCCUGAACAUUAGUGCAUGGAAUAAUGGAAUAGGAUCUCGGUUCUAUUUCGUUGGCUUUCGGAGUCGAGAUAAUGAUUAAUAGGAACAGACGGGGGCAUUCGUACUGCGACGUUAGAGGUGAAAUUCUUGGAUCGUCGCAAGACGAACUACUGCGAAAGCAUUUGCCAAGAAUGUUUUCAUUAAUCAAGAACGAAAGUUAGAGGUUCGAAGGCGAUCAGAUACCGCCCUAGUUCUAACCAUAAACGAUGCCGACCGGCGAUCCGCCGUCGUUAACUGAAUGACUCGGCGGGCAGCCUCCGGGAAACCAGAGUUUUUGGGUUCCGGGGGAAGUAUGGUUGCAAAGCUGAAACUUAAAGGAAUUGACGGAAGGGCACCACCAGGAGUGGAGCCUGCGGCUUAAUUUGACUCAACACGGGAAAUCUCACCAGGCCCGGACACCGGAAGGAUUGACAGAUUGAUAGCUCUUUCUUGAUUCGGUGGGUGGUGGUGCAUGGCCGUUCUUAGUUGGUGGAGCGAUUUGUCUGGUUAAUUCCGAUAACGAACGAGACUCUGGCCUACUAACUAGACAGUUAAUCCUUUUAUGGGUUAGUUGUAGCUUCUUAGAGGGACUGGCGGCGUUUAGCCGCACGAGAAUGAGCAAUAACAGGUCUGUGAUGCCCUUAGAUGUUCUGGGCUGCACGCGCGCUACACUGAAAGAAUCAGCGUGUGUCCCUUACCUGAAAAGGUUAGGAAACCCGUUGAACCUCUUUCGUGAUGGGGAUUGGGGAUUGUAAUUAUUCCCCAUGAACGAGGAAUUCCCAGUAGGCGCGAGUCAUAAGCUUGCGUCGAUUACGUCCCUGCCCUUUGUACACACCGCCCGUCGCUACUACCGAUCGAGUGAUUUAGUGAGGUCUUCGGACUGGUUUUCGUUUUGGCUCUCGGGUCGAGGCGAAAUGCCGGAAAGAUGACCAAACUUGAUCACUUAGAGGAAGUAAAAGU